AUCAUGUUGUCGGAGCAGAAUUAGGCCAUUUGGUCCAUUGAGUCAACUCUGUCAUUCAACGUGGCUAAUCAAUCUUUCCCUCUCACCUCCAUAUUCCUGCCUUCU